GACGAACGCUGGCGGCGUGCUUAACACAUGCAAGUCGAACGGUGAAGCGCUUGCCUUUUUGGUGGGUGUGGAUGAGUGGCGAACGGGUGAGUAACACGUGAGUAACCUGCCCUCUUCUUCUGGAUAACCUCAUGAAAGUGGGGCUAAUACGGGGUAUUCCGGGUCUGUCGCAUGGCGGGUUUGGGAAAGAUUGCGCCUUUGGGUGUUUUCGGUGGGGGAUGGGCUCGCGGCCUAUCAGAUUGUUGGUGGGGUGAUGGCCUACCAAGGCAGUGACGGGUAGCCGGACUGGGAGGAUGGACGGACACGCUGGGACAGAGAGACAGCCCAGACACCAGCGGGAGGCGGCAGUGAGGAAUAUAGAACAGUGGGCGAAAGACUGAUGCAGCGACGCCGCGUGAGGGAUGGAGGCCGUCGGGUUGUGAACCUCUUUCGCCAGUGAAGCAGGCCUGCUCCUGUGUGGGUGGGUUGACGGUAGCUGGAGAAGAAGCGCCGGCUAACUACGUG
rnacentral:rRNA from 1 species